UUUAAACGGCAACUUUUGUAACUUCGAGCAACUUUUCAUGAAUUUGAGUCAAAUUCAUGAAAAGGUGCUCGAAGAGUCAAAUUCAUGAAAAGGUGCUCGAAGUUACAAAAGUUGCCGUUUAAAAC